GUAGGUGGCAAGCGUUGUCCGGAAUUAUUGGGCGUAAAGCGCGCGCAGGUGGUUCUUUAAGUCUGAUGUGAAAGCCCCCGGCUCAACCGGGGAGGGUCAUUGGAAACUGGGGAACUUGAGUGCAGGAGAGGAAAGUGGAAUUCCACGUGUAGCGGUGAAAUGCGUAGAUAUGUGGAGGAACACCAGUGGCGAAGGCGACUUUCUGGCCUGUAACUGGCACUGAGGCGCGAAAGCGUGGGGAGCAAACAGGGAUUAGAUACCCUGGUAGUCCACGCCGUAAACGAUGAGUGCUAAGUGUUGGGGGGGUUUCCCGCCCCUCAGUGCUGCAGCUAACGCAUUAAGCACUCCGCCUGGGGAUACGGUCGCAAGACUG
rnacentral:rRNA from 1 species